rnacentral:lncRNA from 1 species
GUCAUUUAGUCCAUUCAGUCAAAAGAAUUACACUUGAUCAUUCAGCCCAAAAAUUUGAUUGAUUCAAUCAUUCAGACCAUUUUUAUUAAAAAAAAACGCAAUGAAUAGUUUAUCAAUUUAAUCAUUCAGCUCUAAACAAAUACUCCCUUAAUUGAUUCUUUUUAAUAUAACAAAGUAUGCUUAUUAAGAAAAAUAAAAUAAAAGCACAAAGUACAGAACACUCUGUCCCGCUCCUAAAAAUUAUUUGAAAUAAAAGUGUACUUUAAAUUUUAAAAUUUAAACUGAAAACUAAGAACACGAUUAAAAUUUGGAUGCCUACAGGCUAUAGCUGAACUAUAAAUCAAGCCAAGUAUAACAACUAAACAAUUUAUAAAUAAAAUAAAAUUCCACAGCUAUAUUUAAGUGUGGGAUGAAUUAAAUAAAUUACUUCAUAGUUGUCAUAUAAGAAUAGUAAGUGAGGUUCAUAUAUAAAAGUGAUAUUUUCAUAUUUUUUUUAUAUUUUUGCAUAUGGGACCCUUCAUUAAUAUUAAAAAAUAAAUCUCACAUGGGGAAAAAUACUACAAAAAAUAUUAUUUUCAUAUAUAUUUUCGUAACACCUUUUGAUAUUUUCGCAUGUCAGCCCCAUUUUUAAACCUAAAUGAGGACUCCACACGCGGAAAUAUAAAAAUUAAAAUAAAAGGUGCGGAAAUAUAAAAAUAAAGUACCAAAGAGGCAAAAAUGAAAUACUAAUAAUAAUAGAGACUAGAGAGGAAGAUGUAAGAGGUUAACCCACACGUGUCAUUAGUUCACCGGUAAAACAUAAACAAAUUUAGCCAUUAGUCCACUCAUCG